ACUGUCGUGUGGUAUAAAUUAAACCGCGUGUUUAUUAUUGUGGUCUGCAGCGGUGCAAGCAUUGUUACCAUACGAAUAGACGCAACAUUAAGUAGUGUGCUUUGCACGUGCGUAAAGCAUCACAUAUGUCAAACUCGUUUCGUGGUGGGACACAUUGUGGUUUCUCUCAUUGUGGUGACGACUGUAAAAAAAACAAUUUUUAAUCUUAUUAAAUGUAUAAAUCACCCCAUCAUGAUAUAUGCCUGCACAAUUUCCCCUGCGUUGAUUGCUGUUAUAAAGAAUUUAACAACACCAACUGAGAUAGAAAAAAAAGACAUUGUAAUAGCUUUUGAAGGUUUUCAUUAUGGUACAGUUUUUUACGAAAUGAAAACAAAUCUAUUUAGCAAGAAACAUGAAGUUGACAAUCUCUUUGCUUUAGUGAUAUUAUAAAACUAUAUGCCUUUGCACUUCAAAUGUAUUAUAUGUUCAUUAUAAUCUUGUUUUAGUGCGAGUAUAAGAAUGCAGACUGUGGUCCUCUCUCUCUCUCUGUUAGUUGUAUCACUUUCUGAGAGAAAAAGCAAUAUGUCUGCAGUUGAGCGGCAUUAGUUGCAUAAGGCAGAUGAUAACUGCUUGUUCAUUUGUGGAUAUAAGACCUCGCCUAAGGAGAAAUAGGCAGACACUUUUUAGAAAGUAGCCAUGCAUGCAAGGUUUUAUUACAUUAUAUCUGUCAUUAGUCUCAAAGUGCUUGUCCUGUCUUUUGUUUACUAAAAGUUAAAAAAAUUUCCCUGGGCCACAUAAAAUGAAGCAGAGGGCCAAAUGUGGCCCCCGGGCCUCGAGUUUGACACCUGUGUUUUUUUGGAACGUGAGAGCGAAGCAAUAUAAUCGUAAGAUGUCUCACUUUUCUGUAAUGUAGUUCUGCGCGUUAACCACAACCACAAUAAUGAAUAACGGUCCGCCAGUGUCAAUCAGAACAUUUUGUCCUAGGAAAGGAAAAACUAUUCUGUGUAGGUCUCGCUCAUGUUCAUGUGCAUACGUGAUGUCAACGUAUUCCUCACUUAUACACUCGCUAAAAGUCUCUCAGAGCAAACACGAGUCUUUGUGUGAACCACAAAGCACGAAAAUACAACUGUGGAAAAGUAGGCCAGUGUCUGGCCUAAGGAAUCCCUGCUCCCUCCACAGUAGCACAUGCCCAAGGCACAUUUCUCAUUGUGUGUGCACAGCUUCACAGAUAAGCCUGCCUCUUCUCGCAGCCUGACUUCAUCAAGCAAGCCGCAGUUCUAGUUUUCGUGGCAGGCGGCCAACGGCACGUAGUAAAUUUUACUACCUGUCGAGCCGAACACGCAGCAGAGGGACUGUAGAAUGACAUAACCUCCGCUGAGAUAGCGGAGAGAACAACGCGAGGACUGCCUGGAUGGAGGAAUAGCUUGUGAAUUUAUAAAAGGGGACAGUAUCUCAGAGUCGUACAGAGCGAUUCGGAUCGUAGGUUUAGGGGUGCUUCAGCACCCCCAAACAAAAUGGACGAGAAGUGCCCGUGCCAGUCGAUGGAAUCCUAUCAUGAAGAUAACACGAUCUGGAGCGGAUGAGAUUUUGUCUCACCUUUCGUCACCACACGUGAACUUUUCCGUGACCCGGGCUGAAGAGAUUCAAGUGCAGACUUAUUUGGGGUUUGUAAAGGCAGCUAUUUAGCAUUUGGCUUCCAUUUGGACACUGAGCUCAGUGAACACGACUGUACAUCUUUCGGGGGCGGGGGGGGGGGGAUUUUUUCGAGUCGUUUACAGCAAGCGAAGCUUCUUAUCGUGUCAGCGAGGAUGAGUUCAAAGACCCCUUGGACGAUGGCCAGAACAAGGAGCAUAUCUUUGCACAAUGUUGACAUGCAGCUCUUAACAGGCAUCGAAAGUCAAGAUAAUUCUCUCUGCGACCACUCCGGCCCAACAUCAAGGAUAAUGUUGAGGAAUGCAACGCAUUAAAAGUCACUUUCUGCUGUUGAUUGGAGCAAAUAUUCUCCAAAUAAAAUUGGAUUGGAACUCA